GACGAACGCUGGCGGCGUGCUUAACACAUGCAAGUCGAACGGGCCUGUCUUCUUUUUUGGGGGUGGGUUGAGUGGCGAACGGGUGAGUAUCACGUGAGUAACCUGCCCUUCGGUCCUGGAUAACCGCUUGAAAGGGCGGCUAAUACGGGGUGGUCCGGUUGGUCCGCAUGGGCUGGUCGGGCUAGAUUCACUGUUUUUGGUGUUUCGGCGUGGGAUGGGCUCGCGGCCUAUCAGCUUGUUGGUGGGGUGAUGGCCUACCAAGGCGGUGACGGGUAGCCGGCCUGAGAGGGUGGGCGGCCACACUGGGACUGAGAUACGGCCCAGACUCCUGCGGGAGGCAGCAGUGGGGGGUAUUGCACAAUGGGCGGAAGCCUGAUGCAGCGACGUCGCGUGAGGGAUGGAGGCCUUCGGGUUGUGAACCUCUGUUUCCGGUGGUGAAGGCCCUGUCCGUGUGGUGGGGUUGACGGUAGCCGGGGAUGAAGCGCCGGCUAACUACGUG
rnacentral:rRNA from 1 species